AUCUAGCUGAUGAGUCCCAAAUAAGAUGAAACAAGCGUCCUGGAU
rfam:Schistosoma mansoni, Puerto Rico, WGS project CABG01000000 data, contig: 0049